rnacentral:rRNA from 1 species
GGGGGGGGCAAGCGUUGUUCGGAAUUACUGGGCGUAAAGGGCUCGUAGGCGGCCAACUAAGUCAGACGUGAAAUCCCUCGGCUUAACCGGGGAACUGCGUCUGAUACUGGAUGGCUUGAGAUUGGGAGAGGGAUGCGGAAUUCCAGGUGUAGCGGUGAAAUGCGUAGAUAUCUGGAGGAACACCGGUGGCGAAGGCGGCAUCCUGGACCAACACUGACGCUGAGGAGCGAAAGCCAGGGGAGCAAACGGGAUUAGAUACCCCGGUAGUCCUGGCCCUAAACGAUGAAUGCUUGGUGUGACGGGUAUCGAUCCCUGUCGUGCCGAAGCUAACGCAUUAAGCAUUCCGCCUGGGGAGUACGGUCGCAAGGCUG